rfam:Microgenomates bacterium GW2011_GWB1_45_17 TX00_C0007, whole genome shotgun sequence.
GGAGAGGUCGCAUAGUGGUCUAGUGCGGAGCUCUCGAAAAGCUCUGUAUGCGCAAGUAUACCGUGGGUUCGAAUCCCACCCUCUCCG